GAUGAAGAACGUAGCGAAAUGCGAUAAGUAAUGUGAAUUGCAGAAUUCAGUGAAUCAUCGAAUCUUUGAACGCACAUUGCGCCCGCCAGCAUUCUGGCGGGCAUGCCUGUUCGAGCGUCAUUUCAACCCUCAAGCUCUGCUUGGUGUUGGGCCCUACGGUUGACGUAGGCCCUUAAAGGUAGUGGCGGACCCUCUCGGAGCCUCCUUUGCGUAGUAACUAACGUCUCGCAUUGGGAUUCGGAGGGACUCUUGCCGUAAAACCCCCAAAUUUUCUAAUGGUUGACCUCGGAUCAGGUAGGAAUACCCGCUGAACUUAAGCAUAUCAAUAAGCGGAGGA
rnacentral:misc_RNA from 1 species